UUUGCUGUAAGACACGGCUACCCACGGCAGGAUAAUUCUGUCCAGAGAUGGAUCUUUACCAAAGAAGGAAGAUGGCGCCGCUAUGUUUGGCUUGUCACUUGCUCCUCUGUCUCUUCAUGUUUGUUUUUGCUACUGUUUCGCCGUUUAUUGUUUAUGAUCGCAUUACGCUGCUGGAAUUGCGCUUUACAACUAAUCGCCUCUUAAAUGCCCAAUCCUUCAAACCACCACCGCCACUGUUGACAUUAAUUCCUCCUUUCCUGAGACACCCUUUCUGUCUGCUACCAGGCAAUAAGCGUCGCAGAAGACGCGGUCGGAGAGGCGGGUUACAUGUCAGGCUGAGGACUCACCUGGACUCUCCGUUGCCGAGGAGUGGAAAUAAAUUAGGACUUGGCAGUGCUGGAAGAUUGCGAGAAUGCUACCGGUGGCUUCGGCCGGUUAGCUCCAACGCUGGCGUCCCAUUCCCGUGUCCCCGUCGUAUUGGAACAUCUACCAGAGGCUGCGUCCAAGGAAACCUUCAUCCAAUUCCUCAAGUGACAUCGCCGUUUGUUAACUCAACCACGCUCCGCUUGGCACUUUGUAAUAUCAGAUCGCUCAAUAACAAAACAUUUAUUCUCAAUGAUGUCAUCUCCUCUCACAAUCUGGAUUUGUUCUUCCUCAUUGAAACAUGGCUUCCCCCAGGUGACGUCAGUGCCUUUUCAGAACUGCUCCCCUCUGGCUAUCUUUACCUGAAUACCCCGCGACAAACAGACGACCUUCAGAUCUACCUUCCUGUGGUUCUGAACAAUCGUUCUGCGCUGGACCCUCUCCAUAACUCCAUUCAGGACAUUAAACUGUGGCUUUCUCAGAAUUUCCUUCACUUGAAUGAAGGUAAGACCGAAUACAUUCUGUUUAGCCCGGAUUCACCCUGAAGUUCUCCAAGUUUUGGCCCUCUCACACCCCAGUUUGCACCCACUGUGCGUAACCUGGGUGUUAUUUUUGACAAAAGUAUGCAAUUUGAUAAACAGAUUAGUGCGGUUGUUAAGGCGAGCUUUUAC
ensembl:lncRNA